ACACGGGAAGGGAGGUGAUCCGAAGCUUUGUGUAGUUAUCGGACUCGUGAGGUGGCUGUCCGCUAGCCGCUGUCCUUGACAGUCGACCGUCCGCCCUCCGGGGCGGGCUCAGAAAGAUCGUCGAGACCGUGUGGCAGCGGUGCGGCGAAUCCAGAACAGCCACCCGACCCCCGGGGUGCCGGCCCAGUCCAGCCGGCCCGCGCGUCAGCGCGGAAGCCCCGGGGGUCGACCCAU
rnacentral:sRNA from 1 species